ACGAACGCUGGCGGCGUGCCUAAUACAUGCAAGUUGAGCGCUGAAGGUUGGUACUUGUACCAACUGGAUGAGCAGCGAACGGGUGAGUAACGCGUGGGGAAUCUGCCUUUGAGCGGGGGACAACAUUUGGAAACGAAUGCUAAUACCGCAUAAAAACUUUAAACACAAGUUUUAAGUUUGAAAGAUGCCAUUGCAUCACUCAAAGAUGAUCCCGCGUUGUAUUGGCUAGUUGGUGAGGUAAAGGCUCACCAAGGCGAUGAUACAUAGCCGACCUGAGAGGGUGAUCGGCCACAUUGGGACUGAGACACGGCCCAAACUCCUACGGGAGGCAGCAGUAGGGAAUCUUCGGCAAAGGACGAAAGUCUGACCGAGCAACGCCGCGUGAGUGAAGAAGGUGUUCGGAUCGUAAAACUCUGUUGGUAGAGAAGAACGUUGGUGAGAGUGGAAAGCUCAUCAAGUGACGGUAACGACCCAGAAAGGGACGGCUAACUACGU
rnacentral:rRNA from 1 species